rnacentral:rRNA from 1 species
GACGAACGCUGGCGGCGUGCUUAACACAUGCAAGUCGAACGGAAAGGCCUGCUUUCCCUUGUGGAUUGCGGGUACUCGAGUGGCGAACGGGUGAGUAACACGUGAGUGAUCUGCCCCCAACUUGGGUAUAAGCCUGGGAAACUGGGUCUAAUUCCCGAUAGGACUGCAGGGUGGUGCCUGUGGUGGAAAACGAUUUUCUAGUGGUUGGGGAUGAGCUCGCGGCCUAUCAGCUUGUUGGUGGGGUAAUGGCCUACCAAGGCGGCGACGGGUAGCCGGCCUGAGAGGGUGGACGGGCACAUUGGGACUGAGAUACGGCCCAGACUCCUACGAGAGGCAGCAGUGGGGAAUAUUGCACAAUGGGCGGAAGCCUGAUGCAGCGACGCAGAGUGGGGGAUGACGGCCUUCGGGUUGUAAACUCCUUUCGACCGCGAGGAAGCCACCUGGUUGGAAGGGUGGUGACGGUAGUGGUAGAAGAAGCACCGGCUAACUAAGUG